GCUCAAAAUUUAAGGAGUAAAAGGGGAAAAAAAUAGUAUUCUUUUGUUGGGUUUAUUCUGAACCAGCUGCUUCUCUCCAGGCUUCUUCAGCUUUGCUUCAUUGGUGUUUGUGUUCUUCUUCUUGUUCUUGUUCUUCUUCUUCUGGGUUUUUGAUCUUCUUUUUGUGACAAUUGGGUUCUUCUCCUUGGAUCCUCUUCUUCAGGUUCAUACAAUUAGCCUGGCCAGAGUGAUUUUCCGACAUUUUUGUAUUCUUCUUCUUUUUGGAGGCAAAAGAUGGAGAACUAGAACUAGAAGUUCUCUGUUUUGGUGUAUAUUACUUACUUGGCAAAAAGAUGGCUAACAAAUUGGCAAAUGCUGAGAACAAUAGCCAAGGGAACAAUGAGGAUUCACUAGAUGGUUUGGGGGAGGCCAAAGAAUUGUCAGGUGAGGGUGAUUUUAAUAUUACCGAGUCAAAAUCGAAAAGGUUAAUCAGAUGGGCAAAUCCUCAGCAAGACUUGAUUUUAAGUGUUAAGUAUUCACAUAUUGGUAAAAGUGGCACUAAGGACCCUUUCUUCAAAAAUGCUCAAGGUUUAGAUUAUAGGAUUCCCAAACGUAUGGUUAGUGUAGACGAGAAGUAUCUCCGUCGUUGCUUGGAAUUAAUUCAUUUUAGAGCUUCGAGAACAGCUCGAGGCAACGUGUCUGUGAAUGUGAGCUCUGAGAAGAGGAAUGGAGAGGUGUUUGAUUCGCCUAGCUUGGUGUUUGAGUGUCCCACGGUAGCCGAGACUGGGAGUGUAGUCAUAAGCCCUGCAGGGGCAGGGCAGUGGAUUUUGGGUUCAGUCAUGGGCAGCAAGAGUAUGAAGAAUAUCUUGAACAGCCCUUUGCUUCAACAUUAUGGAGCAUUAGAUAGCAAUGCAAACUUGACAAGGAUAAAUUCUAAUGAUGUCAAUGAUUCAAUUUGCUUUGAUUUCAUGGAAUCUCCUAGUGCUUUAAGUCUCUCUUCGACGUUGAAGCUAGACAUGGGCACACCAAUCAGGGAAAGGCACAAAUAUGGAAUUGAUAUCGGGCACAAAAGGCUUCUUUCUGUGUCGAGCACGAACUCCCUAUUUUCGGAUCUAAUUUGUUCUUCGGCUUCUACCACUAUUAAUCAGGGGAUGCUCCAAUGUACAUGGAAGGAUGGAAAUCCUCAUUUUGUUUUCUCCACAGAUGACCAGAAGGACGUCUAUGUAGCGAAUUUAUGGAAAGUUGAGUCGAAGGAGGAAAAGGCUUUAGACUAUGUAUACUUGUUUCAUUCAGGAAAGAGUGGCCAUAAGGACCAUGAGAUUUGUGAUGGUCAUUCUCGCCUUGUUGGUAAGAUGAAGGUGUCCAAUUCUUUCACACUCUGCCCAAACGAUUCGAAGAUCUUGGAGACUGAGUUUGUUUUGUUUAGUGGUAGUGAAAGUUAUGUAACAGAUAUGCCGACUUCAAGCCAUCAACUGAGGAAGAGUAGAGGUUUAUCAAGGAAAGUGGCGGAAGUAUUUAGGACUAGCCAUUCUGCCAAGCAUAAAACCAUCUCGAAGUUUAGUGGGCACCACACAAUACUGGAAGAAAGUUGCAUUCCAGAGACAUGCAUAGAUACAUGUGACAAUCUCGACUCGGCUGGGGAACUGACUUUGUUAGACGAUCAUCCUCCUCCAAAUCUUGAAGUGGCUGCGAUUAUCGUGAAAGACCAUGUCCCUGACACUCAAAAGCAGGAAGAUGGUGGUUGGGGCUUGAAGUUUCUCAAGAAAGUUGGGGUAAAAAAAUCCACUAAAUCUGCAGAGGCCUCUCUACCUGUCAACUGUCAUCGAAGUAAUGGUGAUUGUUCUAUGAGUAUGGAUAUUCUAAUCCCGGCAGGUCUACAUGGUGGGCCGAGAACCAGAAAUGGUGGUCCUUCCAGUCUCAUAGAGAGAUGGAAAUCUGGUGGGCAUUGUGACUGUGGUGGUUGGGACAUGGGUUGUCCUCUCACAGUGCUUAAACCCAGAUCAAGCAACGAUGAAGACUUGCCCCAUAUCCAAGAAGAGUGCAAGUCAUUCGAUUUAAUUACACAGGGUUCACAGAAUGGCGUUCCGACAUUGAGGAUUGUGAAUGUGCAGGAUGGUUUGUAUUUUAUUCAUUUUCAACGAACUAUGUCCGUUCUGCAGUCUUUCUCGAUCGCAGUAGCGAUAAUCCAUACACGGAGUCCCUCUCUGCGGCCCAAAGAUGGAAAUGAAUUGAAAUAGCAAGAUCAAGAAAAUUGAUCAAAUUGAUGAUCCAUGGUUCUUCCAAGUCCUUGACUCUAAAGUGCCGAUAUGAGGAUCUUUUACGUGAGCAACUGCACAUGGAGAAAAAGAAAAGAUUUUGUCCUACAAUGUGCCGAUACAUGCAUAAAUCAGGAAAUUCAAAGGGAUGGUUAGACUUAGGAUCUAUCUAAGGCAGUCUCCCGUUUUCGUCUUGGCCAACCUACGUGUACCUGACUGAGAAGUUAGACAUGCUUGCUUUAUUCACCACGAACUUUUACGCACUUAUCUUCUUACAUGAUGCGAACAAAACCAUUCCUCCAACAGGCGAGUUGCAAAGUCGAUCAUAUAGAAUAGAGAAGAGUACUUUUACACGAACGUUGGCAAAAGCAACCUCAGUCGUCAGUGUUGAAGAGCAAUGUUACUCCCAGGCAAUCCCAAAAACCAAAACAAAGCUGCCAUCUGGUCUGCGGCCGAUACCUAUGGCAGUCACCAUCUCAGCUGCUUGUUUUCCCUGUGAUGUUGCCAUCUUUGGUGGCACAAAUAAUUCGACUUAUUUACAUCCAGAUCAUGAAUGUUUUGCAUCAAUGUUAUGCAAGUGGACAAUGCUGCUAUAUAUAAGGAGUUACACCAUUAUCUUAGAUGCUAAUCUCAAUUUUGAAAAAUUUGAGGAGGAAAGACGGACCAUGUGGAAAACUGGAUUUUACAUUUUGUAAUCGUCUGAAGUCAUCUGUUUGAGUCCCAGUUUUUGGAUGUCAUUAUGCGUAUAUUUUUGCUUUUGUUGUUUUCCCAAUCUGA